rnacentral:rRNA from 1 species
AUUGAACGCUGGCGGAAUGCUUUACACAUGCAAGUCGAACGGCAGCACGGACUUCGGUCUGGUGGCGAGUGGCGAACGGGUGAGCAAUGUAUCGGAACGUGCCCAGUCGUGGGGGAUAACGUAGUGAAAAUUACGGUAAUACCGCAUACGAUCUAUGGAUGAAAGCGGGGGAUCGCAAGACCUCGCGCGAUUGGAGCGGCCGAUAUCAGAUUAGGUAGUUGGUGGGGUAAAGGCCCACCAAGCCAACGAUCUGUAGCUGGUCUGGAGAGGACGACCAGCCACACUGGAACUGAGACACGGUCCAGACUCCUACGGGAGGCAGCAGUGGGGAAUUUUGGGCAAUGGGCGAAAGCCUGAUCCAGCCAUUCCGCGUGCAGGAUGAAGGCCCUCGGGCUGUAAACUGCUUUUGUACAGAACGAAAAGGUUUCUACUAAUACUAGGAGCUCAUGACGGUACUGUAAGAAUAAGCACCGGCUAACUACGUGCCAGCCGCCGCAGUAA